CUGGUAUAUACUUUCCCCCAAUUUAUCUGUAAGUGCUAGCAUGAUUUACUUAAGAAAAAUAUAUUUGGAAAUUUCCACUUCCUCUUACAAGCUCUCUUAUGGGAGUAAGUACAGAAGAGGCUUUUAGAAGGUCGCACGUAUUCAGUAGGAAAAUUCAGGGACCAGAGGGCUGACAGCCAACCUCACAGGACCUGUUGUGACUUCCUGCUGGUGGGAGGACUCACCUGCACCAGGCCAGGCAGUCAACAAAACGGAGGCUUACCUCGCCUAAGGCUGGAGCUGGACAGGGUCUGCAUGCUGGUGAGGAAAGUGCGAUCUGCGUGUGGUGAGAAUAUGCCGGAGGCACAGAGAAUUCUCCAUCUCCGAGGAGAGAACGCUGUUGCUCUGCCUAGAUGCGGGCCUCCAGGACCUGCUGGCAAGAGGACGGGCCCACAGGAGGAAUUCUGUGCUUGUUCUCUGCAGUGACGUGUAACUCGAGCUAACCUAUGUGGGGACCCGCCAUCCAUUUCACGUGGACAGUGAAAUGCCUGCUGCCAAAACUCCACGACUGCCAUUUAUUAUCGACAUAGAGAACAUUGUCUUACAUAAUCAUAAGAGAGCUUUCCAAAAAAGAAAAAAAA
ensembl:lncRNA